AAUCAAAAAAGGAAAUCAACUUCUUUGAAAAAAUAUUUUGAUAUUGGUAACGUUAAAAUUCGAGCAUCAGAUAGAUAUUGGCUAAUAAGUUAAUUAAGAUAAUAACCAAAGCUAAAAUUUAAUAUAUAAAAUAACAAAAACCUUACUUUUACUACAUAAUACUAUUUUACUCUGUUAAAUUAUUCUAUGCAGAUAUAUAAGUUAUUUAUUUAGCUUUACUAAAAACAUUUUACUCUUUUCUUAUCAUCUUGAAUUUUAUCUUUACAAAGGAAAGGCCUAAAGAAAAAUCCUAGAGAAGAAUAAAAAAGUAAAUCACCAUUAUUGAAAAAAAUAUUUGAUCUUGGUAAUGUAAAAAAUUGAGCAUCAGAUAUUGGUUAAUAAGUUAGCUAGGAUAAUUACCAAAGCUAAAAACUGAUAUAUAAAAUAAUAAAAAACUAUAUUCUCAAAAUAUAAUAUCAUUUUAGUCUGUUAAAAUAUUAUUUUAUUCUAUACAGAUAUAUUAGUUAUAUAUUCAGUUUUAUUGAAAACAUUUUACUCUUUUUUGUUUUGAAAUUUAUAUUAAAACAGUUCAUUUAUAAAGGAAAAGCUUAAAGGAAUGUCCCGAGAAAAGAAUAGAAAAUAAUUUAAUUUUAUUGAAAAACACUAGGCAAAAUCUUCGGUACGCUGCAGAUAUUUUUAACACAUAUUAGUUUACUAGGUGGACAACCUGCCCGCAUGUGCAAACAUUAAUAUAAUUCAUAUAUUGUAUCUAUAGCUAUUAUUAAAUGUAUAAGUAGAUGGUAAUUCUUUCACACUAAUUCUGUCUUUUUUUGUAUCUCUCUCUAUCUCAUUCAUUUAGGUUCAGUCUCUCAGUCUUUGAGUCUCUCUCUCACUCUC
rnacentral:lncRNA from 1 species